UAUAGCUAAGUGGGAAACGAUGUGGGAAGGCUCAGACAGCCAGGAUGUUGGCUUAGAAGCAGCCAUCAUUUAAAGAAAGCGUAAUAGCUCACUGGUCGAGUCGGCCUGCGCGGAAGAUGUAACGGGGCUAAGCUAUACACCGAAGCUGCGGCAGCAUACUUUAGUAUGCUGGGUAGGGGAGCGUUCUGUAAGCCGUUGAAGGUGAACUGAGAAGUUUGCUGGAGGUAUCAGAAGUGCGAAUGCUGACAUGAGUAACGAUAAAGGGAGUGAAAAACUCCCUCGCCGGAAGACCAAGGGUUCCUGUCCAACGUUAAUCGGGGCAGGGUAAGUCGACCCCUAAGGCGAGGCCGAAAGGCGUAGUCGAUGGGAAACGGGUUAAUAUUCCCGUACUUCUUACAAAUGCGAUGGGGGGACGGAGAAGGCUAGGUGGGCCUGGCGAUGGUUGUCCAGGUUCAAGUGCGUAGGCUAAUUUCUUAGGUAAAUCCGGGAAAUUGUUAGGCUGAGACACGACGUCGAGCUACUACGGUAGUGAAGUCAUUGAUGCCAUGCUUCCAGGAAAAGCCUCUAAGCUUCAGUUUGUAAGAAAUCGUACCCCAAACCGACACAGGUGGUCGGGUAGAGAAUACCAAGGCGCUUGAGAGAACUCGGGUGAAGGAACUAGGCAAAAUGGUACCGUAACUUCGGGAGAAGGUACGCUCCUAGCGGUGAUGAGACUUGCUCUCUAAGCUGCCGGGAGUCGCAGAUACCAGGUGGCUGCAACUGUUUAUUAAAAACACAGCACUGUGCAAAAUCGUAAGAUGACGUAUACGGUGUGACGCCUGCCCGGUGCCGGAAGGUUAAUUGAUGGGGUUAUCUUCGG
rnacentral:rRNA from 1 species